rnacentral:pre_miRNA from 1 species
ACUUCUUGCACUCCUCUAUCUCCCUCGGCACCUGCACAGUGAUUUUCUCAAUAUCUUCACGUUGGUGGCCACGUUCGAACAUAUCCCAUGCGGGCAACUCCGGCGUAGGUGUACACGGCCAGCGUUGCUUACCAUCUGGAGGAUACCCUUGCUCAAACCUACGACUCUGUUCCGGUGGUGAGGAAGAUAGAGGAGUUCAAGAAGU